ensembl:processed_transcript
GCACGAGGUGUCCUCUCACCAGCAGCAGCUGCCAUCUCCUGAUUCAGGACACAGAGCCAGAAGAUAUUUGCACAAUAGAGAUGGAGAUGGACAUCCUUAGCACUGUUGAAGAUGAUGUUGCCACUCUUCAGCCCAACCUAAAUGUAAGGUGCCUGUCUGUGGUUCUGGAAGAGCAAAUCGUGCUGGAAAAGAUCUUCCGACAGCUGUUGUUCUCCUCUUUGGUUUGAUUAAUUUCCUCAUUAUGAACUACCCCAAAGAACUGAAACACAUCUUUGAAACU